rnacentral:rRNA from 1 species
GAUGAACGCUAGCUACAGGCUUAACACAUGCAAGUCGAGGGACGGGCGCACGGGUGAGUAACACGUAUCCAGCCUGCCCUUUACUCGGGGAUAGCCUUUAGCAAGAACGAUUAAUGCCCGAACUAAGGGAUGGGGAUGCGUUCCAUUAGUUGGUGGGUGAGGUAACGGCUCACCAAGCCUUCGAUGGAUAGGGGUGCGGAGAGCAAGGUCCCCCACAUUGGAACUGAGACCCGGUCCAAACCCGGACGGGAGGCAGCGGUGAGGAAUAUUGGUCAAUGGGCGCUAGCCUGAACCAGCCAAGUAGCGUGAAGGAGGAAGGCUUAUGGGUCGUAAACUUCUUGUAUAUAAGAAUAUGUAUUAUAUGAAUAAGGAUCGGCUAACUCCGUGCCAGCCGCCGCGGUAAUUC